CAUCCCAUUGCUCUCUACAAUGAUGAGUAUAAACAACGCCUUGGGACAACACCACUGUGACCCCCUGUUUUUUUGCCGUUUUUCAAGAAUUUUUUUUUGUGGGAAAAAAAGAGAUAUUCCAAAAAUUUUUUUUUGUUUUGUUCGUUGUUUAUUAAAGAUACAUAAAAAAAAAUUUCAAAUUUUUCACGCCUCAUGGUGGCGCUGGGGAAGCUCCCGCGUCAGGUGCUGUUGCCUUUGCAGUGAUCCGCGGCACGCAGCAGAACUGUCUUCAAAGUCGAUCUGA